ACUCCUACGGGAGGCAGCAGUAAGGAAUAUUGGACAAUGCUCGCAAGAGUGAUCCAGCCAUUCCGCGUGCAGGAUGACUGCCCUAUGGGUUGUAAACUGCUUUUAGAUGGGAAGAAAGUGCGACAUUUAUGUUGUUUUGACGGUACCAUCAGAAUAAGGACCGGCUAACUCCGUGCCAGCAGCCGCGGUAAUACGGAGGGUCCAAGCGUUAUCCGGAAUCAAUUGGGUUUAAAGGGUCCGCAGGCGGACGUAUAAGUCAGUGGUGAAAGCCUACAGCUUAACUGUAGAACUGCCAUUGAUACUGUAUGUCUUGAAUUCGGUCGAAGUGGGCGGAAUGUGUCAUGUAGCGGUGAAAUGCAUAGAUAUGGACACAGAACACCGAUAGGCGAAGGCAGCUCACUAGGCCUGAAUUGACGCUCAGGGACGAAAGCGUGGGGAGCGAACAGGAUUAGAUACCCUGGUAGGAUA
rnacentral:rRNA from 1 species